UCAGUUCCUAGUUUUGUACCUAGUAGUCUAGUGCAGACUCUUGGUGUUCCAUGUACUCUUGUGAUUUUCAUUAUAAAUAAAAGAUAAUGAGAGGGAUCAUUCAGCCCUAAAGAAUAUUUCUUCUCAGUCUUAAGUCUCAAGUAUUAAUAACUAACAAGGAAGAAUCUGAAUCUUAUGAUUGGCUAGAGAAUUCCAUACAUCCCAAAGAUUGGGCCAAGUAUGUCCAUGACCUGAAAUAAAUUGUUUUGCUCUAGACAAUAAAGAGCAAAUCAAUAUAUACUGAUAUAGGAAACUACAAAUUGUAUCUUACCAAAAUGUACAAAUCUCAUUGCCAACCCUUAUAAUUAACCCAAGGGAUUCCAUAACAGCCAUUUAUGUUAGACGAUCUCUGCACUGCUUUAACUUCUAUUGUGUCUCCAAUUACCUUUUAAAAUCUUCUAAUUCUUUUUUCUCUCUCUGCAUCAAAAUCCUUCCUGAAUUGAGUAAAUAUAAACAUUAGGAUUUAAAUAUCAGCAUUAAUUCAAGACGGUGACAUUCAAUUGUUCAAUUAACUGCAGAAGCAUUUGGAUUUAAAUAGCUUUGGAUCCUAGGGAACUUCCUUCAAUGACCAACCUCAGCAAACACGUGAGAUAUUAUCAAAUUAACAUGAUUAAUACGAACUACUUAUUUAUCAUUUAUCACACAUAAAUUGUGCUCAUAAGGACCUCCAACACCAGUCAUUGUAUAAUUUAAUAUUAGUUCCUAAAGGACAUAUUUAUCACGUUUGCGUGCAUCUAAAAUUUACAAAAAUGGCAAAUGCUAAAUUUUAAUUUUAUAAAUUGAAAUAUUAAGAAUAUCUAUUCAUCAGCCAUUGCUCGUUAGUUAUAUUCAUUAUGCUAGUACGCAACUGCAAACUUAAUUACAUAUAAAAUGUAAAGAUGAAAUGAUAUGGGUCGAGUCCUCAUAGUGCAAAUGAAAUCUAUAGGUGUAGGAAGGAUGGAACCAAAAUGAUAAUAACUAAUCCUACGUCCUCCUCCAAUAUUUAAAUAAACUCAAAACCUUGAGCUUGGAUUUCAUCAAUGUAGUUGAUCAUAAUGGUGGCAGCACCCUUGAAAAUGUUUACAUGAAAGAGUUGAAAAAGAAAACAACUAUAUUUAGAUAAAGAUUAAGAAUCAACAUAAAUGUAAAAAGAGGUGUAUAACUUAAUAUACCAAAGCAAAAGUAAAAUCAACAAAAAUAAUAAUAAUAAUUUCCAUUUAAGCUUGAUCAUUGCUGAACCGAGAUGGUAGUGGGGCAUUACAAGUUAUCAACCAAUGUUGAGAGAAAAUUAAACAAUGAAUUAGGCAUCAGUAACACCAUGAACCAGACAACAACCUCUAAAUGAAAUCACGAAUAUCAUAUUACAACUGGUCUAUAACAGUUUUUGAGUAAAUACAAUACCAACUAGUGCCUACAAGAGAUCCAACAAAACUGUGUAAUCCGAUUAGACUAUACAGGACAGUAAACAACCUGCACACAAAUCCUCACGGCAAAUACAAUUCAUAUGGAAUUACAUAGACAGUUAACCACAAACAGUAUAGACCACCAGAGUUCCAAUUCAUUUACCUAAUGAGCAUGCAUUUGUGAUCUUUCUAUACACUUAAUAUCAGGGAACAAGACUUUUAUUACUAGCUCAAAACUAUUUUAGCAAUCAUCACCGUUUGCAUCACUCAAUUAUAGAUUCAACGUUAGCAAUCAUCACCGUUAACUUUCUCAACCCUAUACAAACAUACAAUACAUCCUAGAAACUUAAACCACAAAUUCAAAACUACCCUGAACAGCUAAGGAAACUAUAACGACAAUAAAUAGAUUAUAGAAACUUAACAAAUUUCAGCAUUUGUAAAUUCCUUUAUCUCUUGUAUCCCAUAAUUUCCAGGAUCAGUUUCACAUGAAUAAUAUUUUCCAGAUUUAAAUUAUCAAAUCUUUUCUUUUUCAAAUUAACCAAAAUCACAUUUUAUAACUAGACAUGCGCUCAAUAUUAACAUAACAAAUUUAUGAAACAAGAAUUAAAAUCAAAGACCUAGAUAAGCACCCAAAAACAAACACAUUCAGUUUAGUUCCCAAUGUCCUAAUAUCUCAUUAUAAAACUUCAUUCAACUUUAUCCUAUUUCCCCAAAAACAGACCUGUUUCCUUUAAUUGAUUAACACAGAGUAAAAUAAAAUAAGAAUGAUGUGAUCUCUACAUUAUCAAGAUUAUGAACUGCUUAACUAGGUUUUAGUUUAACUUAAUUCAUUUCAUANANNAAUUCAUAAUUAAAUUUACUCUAAACACAUGCCCAUUCAUUUGUAAAUGCAUAUCAACCUUGCUCAAAAACGGAAAGCACAAUCACAUUAUAAAAAUUUCCAGCCAGUGCAUUGAUUGAUCAUAAAAUUCAUUUCUUGGUUAUAAGUUUAUUUUCAAUUUAAGAUACAAUGUUCCUAACAAUACAAUGUUCCUGAAUCUCACACAAAUUCAAUGUUUGCUCCUGCAUGCAUUUUCCCCAAUUUCCUUAAAACAACUUUUUUUCCCAGAACGUUUCCCCCCCUUUUACCAAAACCCAUUAACCUCAAAAGCCAUUUUACAGAUUGAACAAAACCAAUGCAACAUUAGAAAAUUCUCAAUUUUUUUAUGCACAAACGAUAACUCAACUCCCCUCAUAAGAUACCCGAAUGAGCAUUAAGAUAGGAGAACAUGUCAGACCUCAUAUAACAAAUGAGUACAGUAAAAAAAACUCCUCAUACCUGGAUUUUGAUUCCUGCACUCUCCCACCGAACACCGUGACUUUCUCAGUCCUCUCUUUCACCCUUAGGUUUCUCAAAAUGCUUGAUUAGGUGUCUCUAUCCUUCCUUCUCUAGCCCCUUUUUCAGGUUUCAUCUAAAUCCCCAAUUCGGAUCCCCGAAACCCUAAAAUCAUGCUCACCAUCCUCUGAUUCUAUCUUCCCUUUACCCACUUUAAAACCAAGCCUUCAUCUCUCUCCCAGCGUUUAAUGUCUGUCGCUAUUUCCCCUGUGGUCCUACAGUUUUAGAUAAGAAAAAAAAAUGAAAACAAAGAAAGAACAAGAGAAGAAAAUAAAGAAGAAAAAAGAAGAACGAGCUUUCGAAUUUAAGCAUGCCGUCGACCCCGAAUUCUCUUUCGCCAAUUUCUUUGGAUUUCUCGACCCAGCUCCAAGAAAGAAGUAAAAAAAUAAAGAGAAAAGAAAUGAGGACAGAAAAUAUAAUUAAUUUUGUUCUCAACCGGUAACGAAUCC
rnacentral:lncRNA from 1 species